AUUGAACGCUGGCGGCAUGCUUUACACAUGCAAGUCGAACGGGGUUAGGGAGCUCGCUCUCUAAUCUAGUGGCGAACGGGUGAGUAAUACAUCGGAACGUACCGCGAAGUGGGGGAUAACGAGUCGAAAGAUUCGCUAAUACCGCAUAUUCUCUUUGGAGGAAAGCAGGGGAUCUUCGGACCUUGUGCUUUGCGAGCGGCCGAUGGCUGAUUAGCUAGUUGGUGAGGUAAAGGCUCACCAAGGCGACGAUCAGUAGCGGGUCUGAGAGGACGACCCGCCACACUGGGACUGAGACACGGCCCAGACUCCUACGGGAGGCAGCAGUGGGGAAUCUUGGACAAUGGGCGCAAGCCUGAUCCAGCAAUGCCGCGUGCGUGAAGAAGGCCUUCGGGUUGUAAAGCGCUUUUGUCAGGGAGCAAAGGGGUGUGGCUAGUAUCUGCACUUGUUGAGAGUACCUGAAGAAUAAGGACCGGCUAACUACGUGCCAGCCGCCGCAGUAA
rnacentral:rRNA from 1 species